GUUGUGUUGUGUUUUUUUGAGACAGGGUCUCACUAUGUCGUUGAGAAUGACCUGGAACUCACUAUGUAGCCCAGGCUGGUCUCGAUCCUCCUGCCUCAGCCUCCCGAGUGCUGGGAUUACAGGCGUGCGCCACCAUGUCCGGCUUCAGUCAUCUUCUUAGCAAACUCUCAGCCACAACAGUUAAGAGGUUCAAAAAAAAAUUUUUUUAAAGAAACGGAUAACCUUCAUAUUACCAUAAUAUCUGCACAAGAGUGAAGGUCCACCUGAUCAUGUGAUCCGCGUAAACAGGUGACCUUAAAGGUAUCUGGGCAGUAAAUUUGUGUUCUGACAUUUGUGUAUAUCAUCUUUCAGGGACCACUAUGGGUUGUUCCUCUUAAAUUUUGAAUAAUAAUCUUUGAAGAAGAGAGAUAGCACACACUGCCUUUAUUUCUAGUUAAGAAAAACAACAGGCCAGAGAGCAUAACGGUAACGUAUGAUUUUGCUGCUGUAUUAUCAUCCGGUAAUAAGUGCAACGUGAAACUGCCAAUUAUCUCAUAAGAGAGGUAUCACCUCUUCUGUUGUGAAAGGCUCCAUCAAUAACUGGGUUCAGCUCUCUCAUUCUCCCCUGAGCCACCGGCAGCUUCCCGUAGCAGAAGUGAGCCAGGGACACACAGAGGAAAGCAAACACAGUCAACACACAAACGCUCAAGCCAGCUCGGCCUCUGGCCUGGGCACAGAGAAGGGUCAAGGCAAAAGGAAGAGGGAGGGGCAGGGGCCUGGCCUGGAGUGAGCCGCAGGUCACACGCACGCGCAGCUUGGCAGCAAACUCAGUUUACAAAGAGACAUCUGUUCCAUUACUCUGAUGCACUGUGGCUAAUUACAUCCUGGCCCGUCUGUGAAAUGACAGCCACUUAUUCUCCAGUGAACCGUCUGUGCACUGAUUCCAUAAUAGUGCUUUGCCAACCACCUUGCUUCCCAGCCCAACUCCUCCGUCUGCUGUCGAGCUCAGCGCGCCGCGAGAAGGACAUGCCAUGGAGCUUUUGCCCAGGGGCGAGUAGGGGACUAAAAUGUGCCUGCUCUGUCUGUGCGCUCACAUUUCAGACACACGCCGGAUGGUAACUUGCUAACACAGGUUUUGGUUCACUGCUCAACCUCAGUACCGGGAAGGACGAUGUUGGAAAAAUGAACUAAAAUGGCAUUUUGUAGAACUGUCAGGUCUUCAUGAUCCACAUUUAAGGACACUGCAAGACUAAAACCAAAAAUCUGAUUAGCUGAAAUGCGUCAUAAUUUAAUCUUGUUCCUGUGUUCAUCUUCUCAGUCCACCAAAUCUUUUGUCGGAAAGAAGUUUAUAGCUAUGUACUGGGGUCACGCAGCAUGACAAUACCUGAGUGUUUUGGAGCCCUGUCAUGAAACAGCUGCUGUUUCCAGGUUAGCAGCCCGGCCAUUACUGACCUGCUUGGUAUGGUACCAUCCUAAUCUGUAGCCCAGCUUCCGUUUCAAGACAUGAGCCCUUUCCCUUCCUGAGAUAGCUCUCUUUGGGCCCGACGAAGUGAGCUCCUGUGCAUGGUGUCACAGCCACGAAGAAAAACCCCACCCAACAAAGGAAAAGGCUCUGCCCACAGGGCCCUGGGGAGGUGCCAUUUCAUCUUCUCUUGCACUGCGCUGACAUUUUUAAAUUAUAAUGAUUCCAUAUCCCAAAUGAGUCCUAAGAACAUUCUGAAUCAGCUAAUUAAUAAAUCAAUUGCUCUUCAGGAUGGCAUUUAUCAAAUUCACAACUAAUAUGUGCAGUGAGGUUAGAAUGGAAGUCUGCAGCUGCUGUAUCGCUGGCUCUAGGAGGACCUGUUUAUGAAGAAUCUAGCAUGUUUGAAACCCUUCACCACACCCUGGCUGCAAGCUAAGCACCUGUAAGUAUCUCUGCAGUCUCUCUGGAUCCACCAGGGCCCCGGUUAAUCACCAGAGGCAGUAUCUUAUGGACUAAUGAGUAGCUGCUAAAGACGGAAGAAGGAGCAGCCCUCCUAAUCAAACACUCAGCAGUCCAUAUGGUGGUGGUAAUUGAAACAUCCUUCUGGUCACACCGUUGAACGAAGGUUAGAACCAAUUAGAUGCCACUGUUUAGAUGUGGGUAGCAUUCUGGUGUCUUUAUCUUGCUCAUUAGGCACAGGGAUGACAUGGGGGUCGACAAUAGCAAGCUGCCAUACUUCUUUGCAAAGAGUGGACCAUUAAUGAAUUCUUCAAUUCCUUAAGACCUGGUAGUUUUUUUUCUACACAUUUCAGAACCACUGCCAAUGCAAAUCAGUUGUGACGACGAGGCUGUGAGAGCAGCGUGUACUGCUCUUAAUUGUCUACUUGGCCGGUGUCUUUCUCGGUUAUAGAUGGAACCCUCCUCACCAUUACAGCCACGUCGCUCUUCUCCAUGUGCUGUGGAGGGGCUGGUGUGGACAGUGUGGACAAGAGAGAGGAAUGGUAGGCAAACAGCCCAGGUGUGCCGUGCAUCCAUAGUGGAACAAAGUUGGACCAGAAGACAAGACAGCAGAGAGACUGGGGGCUUGGGGAGUGCAGAGGCAGAGCCGUUGUUCUGAGACCAAAGGAUUGAGCACAAGCCUGCCACUGACUGGCUCAGACUCCAGCUCCCACUCUUCGCCCUGUUUUUCUUUUAUCACUAGUAUGGUUUUCCUAGUGGAGAGGACUUCUUUUUUUGAAAAAGAUAACAGGCCGUGAACUCUGCAGUCAAAUAGUCACUCAAGCCCAAUGGCUCUGCAAAUUACUUAGGCAGAAUCGAAGCUCGAGGGUAGAAAUCAAUUAUAGGGUCUGUGUGUGGGGACUUGGAAAUGGCACAUCGUCCAACAGAAAGCACAUGCCAAAGGAGGAAGAGACGGGAAGGGGGCAUUGAGGAUGGCGGCGGGUGAGGGGGGUAGGAUCAGACACAUCGCUGUAUUAGGUGUGUACAGAGAAAGCACACCGCACAGAGAUGGGAAAGUCUGUAUGAACUAAGAACGAAGAUAGAAGAAUUUUCAUUCAAGUUGAGGGUGUGUGCAACAGGCCAAACUGGCAGAGAUAGCCAGGUAGGGACUGAAGUCAGAGAAAUUAAAUAAAUGCAAAGAAAUCCCAUUUUGCUGGCUGGGUUUGUUUCUGAACAGAUGUCAGAAAGCACCAAUCCUGCCUGUAUUCUUUUCACGGCUGUACGGAGAUCUCACAUAGUGAGUGACUGCAGGAGUUAGACUGGCUGGAGACCAAGGCAAAGCAGGAAGCUACUUUGAGUAACAUUUUACUCAUCGCAGUGUUUUUGGAUUUGAAACAGAUUCUUACCUUAUCUGAACUAAAGCAUUUCAUAGGAUACGAUUUCUUAUUUUCCCUCUUGUGGUCCCAUUUAUACAUCUACGGAGAGUGGUACAUAUGAUCGUGCUCUUGGCACUGCUGUCUCUGUAUGCCCAAUAUUAUGAUAAUUUUGAAAUACAAACUGAAUGAAUACAUAGGUAGGUCAUUUUCAAAAUGAUUUUUUAUUUGCUCAACAGAUUGAAUCUGUGCAGUAGUAAAAUUACAGUUGGUUAAGUAAAUCUUGAGUCCGAGUAAGGUUUAUCAGGGUAAUGCUAAUCUUUAACCCCUUAGUCUAGAAUAUAUUUUUAAGAGUGGGAGGAAAUUCCAACAUCUAUAUCAACAGAGAACUCACAGAGUUUGAAAUGCUCCUAGCACACUUCCUUGCAGUUAUUUAUGACAGCUUGACAGUGACAAAAAAAUUAGGAGCCGAAAUGCUUUCUCCUCCGAUCUGCGGAUGCCUGUUUAUGCCAACUGGAUUGAUCAUUUUGUGCCUUAAUUUCCCUUCCUGCAGUUUGCCGGAAGCCUUAUCGAGUACACCAUGGAUUCUAACAAGCUAGCACUGCAACUUAUUUUUAGUUUACUAGUCAUGCUCUGUCGCCAAACUAUGCAUUUUUAUGUGUAAGGGAAAGAGUUUAAGAAAGAAAUGAUCUACUAGGAACAGUUUAAAUAUUAUUUCACAUUUAAAGAUGUGUUUAAAACUAGUCAUCAG
ensembl:lincRNA